ensembl:lncRNA
AUUUCUUUUCUUUUCCUUUCUUUUGAGAGGAGGUCUUACUGUGUAGUUUGAGCUGAGCUUGAAUUCACUAUGUGGUGCAGGCUGGCCUUCAACUCUUGGGCGAACCCUCUGGUUCAGCUUUCUGAGUGCUGGGAUUACAGGCAUGCAUCAUGAUGCCCGGUGCUUAACAUGAUGAUUUUUUUUUCUUUUUAAAAAUGAAUACAUUUCAGAUAUUCAUAAUGAGAGCAUUCAUGGUAAGGAAUUUGUACCUGUAUGUGACAUAUCUUGCUUCAUCCUUUUUUUCCCCAUUCCUCUCCACUCCCAUCAACCCAUGAGUUUUUUUCUCUGAAACUGAGGUUUCACUUUGGAGAAAGGAAUUCCUUUCUCUUUAACACCUGACCAGGUCCCUGAGUGCUUCUUCCCAGAAUGCACUAUGUAAAUAGCCACCAUCCAGAGUGAAAAUGAUUCAUGCCAUAGGACAGAGCAGAGAGAACUUUGAAAUGUCAUUUGUGGUGACGAUUACAUGAAAAGAAUUUAUAGGUGGUGAAAUUAACUCUCUCCCACUUUCACAAGGUGUAUCACCAUACUGGAAAAAGUUAUGUCGUUUGGGCCGUUAUAUGGGUGUGUGAGAAGAUGGCCUCCUGCCCGGAUGAUCCUCAGUGGUCUGGGGUGCAGGCUUCAAACCUGUAGCUGUCAGGCAACAGAGUGGUUCAAUUCCACCUUCCGGGCAAUACUUGCUUUUCUCCCCCACCCUCAAACCACACUUGAGGCUGUGAGGUCUUCCAAGAGACGAUCCCCCAAGCACCUGGAGAGGUUGCUUCUGCCUUCUACAUCCCCAUUCACAGUCUAGCCAGGUGGACUUCUGUCUGCGGUUCCUUUUUUCUCAGGAAUGUCAAAGAUGACUGGAAAAGAUGAAGAACAUUUCUUCUACACAGCUCUAGGAUAUUCAUGUGGGCCUCUCCCAUUCACUAGCUCAUUCAAUCAGUCAUCCACACACUCUUGUAUUUCAUUAUGUACUUCUUCCUCAAAUAUUUGCUCAUUUUCUCUUUCUGUCAUUCAACAGCCAUUUGUGGAGUGGCUGCUUCAGACCAGCCCUAUCUCGGGUGCUGCUGGGGACACAGGUCUGAUGACAGUCCCCGCCCUGGCCUCAGGGCUGAAGCAAUGCAGUGGGAGCUGUAGACUAAGCGAUCCUGACAUUGCCCAUUGAAUUAUGAAGCACAGAGUUAGUGACUGCUGGAAAAGAAAGUACAGAACGCAGGAGGCCAGCAGAGAAGGAAACCUGACCUAGUAUCAGGGUGAAUGGCACUGGGGCAGACACUGGAAGGAUGAGAGGGAUUUGAGAUUGGCUUGGAGAAUGCUUUCUGUGCUGUUGCAUGGUUUAUUACAGUGUUCCAUCUUUAUUCACAUUCAUGACUCUGUGUAUGUGUGUGUUUAUGUUUGUGUGUAGUCCUACUAGCAUCUAACCUCACUGUGUCUUGCUAAAAGGAAGCCAAAUAAUGGUUUCCAAGAGAAAAAUAGACCCCUUGGCCUGGUGGAUGUAUUUUUCAGUUCUUUUUAUUGGUGACGGUGCAGAAUCAAGGGGGAAGGGGAGCAGCCCAGUACCAUCUACCCCAAACCCCAGCCCCAAGGUCAGAUGCCAAAUAGAAAAAGAAGCACAAAUACAUCAUGGAGUGGGAGGGGCUUGGGGAUUCAAUAAACUGUGGUUGGCAGGGACUGGUCCAGCCCAAACUCAACACUUGCACCCAGGAUUCUCAAUUGUACAGACUGUAAAAAUUGACCAUCUCUCAGGCUUCCUCAGAAAACUAGUAUCUUAGGUCCUCAAUUAACCUGGUAAGGACACAGCUGGAGCAUCAGAGACACUCACAAAGGACACAGGUGUGCCUGGUGAAAGGAGCAGAGGAGAAACACACAGGGAGCCAGCUGGAGACUGUUGGACCAGCCGGGUUGCUGAGACAUUCAGAGAAGGGACAGCUAGAGAUGGAGAGAGACAGCCCCAGACAGACUGAUGCCAAGUUACAGGCAUUUCCAACUCCACCGCCUGCUUUUAGAUGUGCAAGUGCUCACACUCACACACACACGCACACACCCAUAUAUAAUAUAUUUAUUUAUACAUAAUAGAUAUAAGUGCCUUUUGGGAAUCAGGGAAGGGAUAAAUAGGUAAGGGCGGGUCUGAUUUAGGGCCGGAGAUGUGGGACAGGGCGUGGAAUAUUGUCCAUGGGACACAGAGAAUGACAGGGCCACCCUCAUUAAAAAACAGAAAUUUGCCUCAUGGUGAAAUUUUCACUCACGGGUGACUCGAGGAGAGGUGAGGUGUGAGAGGCAGAACUGAAAUUCUGAUCUGAGGGAAUGGAGGGAUGGGACUGGGGGAGCCCAGCCUCUCCUCUCCAUGUUUGCCAGUCCCAAAAUAUUGGGUGUCCAGGGGGCCAAAGCCUCAGCCCUUCAAACUUCUCCUGAAAAUGUCAAGCCGCUUACUCCCUUUCUAGAAGGGACUGAUGCAGGGUGCACAGGGCAGGGAGAAGUUGGCAUCCUAGGCUGGGAAAGGUGGGGGCAUUCAAGAACAAGGCCAGGGGUCCCGAGGGUCCAAAUGGAUGCAUCACUGUCAUCCCCCUUCUUGACUCUGACACUCCUUGAAUCUAACUCACGGGUGAAGGAGGAGGAGAUAGGUAAGGGCUUGAUGAGGCCCAGGGAAGGCCUUGGGGAGUCAAGGUCCUGUCCCCCAGGCCCACCCCAGAACCCUGAUGCUCAUUCACAGUAUCAAACACUCCAGCAGGAAGGUGUCACACUGCCUCCAGCUGCUUGAACUGAGAAAGGUCAACAAAGAUGACCUCAACCUUCCAAGUGCUGAGGUUACAGGCCUGAGCCACUCUGCCUAGUCAGGAGUUUCUUGGUUUUUUGUUUUUGCUGUUGUUGUUUGAGACAUGGUCUCAGUGUGUAGUUUGAGCUGGGCUUGAACUCACUAUGUGGCCCAGGCUGGCCUUGAACUCCUGGUUGAUCUUCCUGGCUCAGCCUUCUGAGUGCUGGGAUUAUAGGCAUGUACCACCAUGCCUGGCACUUGAACUGGUUAUUUCUUUUUUUUCUUUUUAAACAUUCCCAUAGUUUAGAUAUACAUCAUGAUAACAUUCAUCACAGGGAAUUUGUACAUGCACAUGAUGUAUCAGGCUUAUCCUUUUUUCCCCAUUUACCGCCUCUCCCAUCAACCCAUGAGUUUCUUUUCUGAAACUGAGGUUUCACUUUGGAAAAAGGAAUUCCUGCCUCUUUAACACCUGCUCAAUUCUCUGAGCACUGCUACCCAGAAUGCAGGGCGCUAUGUAAAUAGCCAAUUACCAGAGUCAGGAUGAUUCAUGCCAUGCAACAACACAGAAAGAACUUUGAAAUAUUAUUUGCUGUUACAGUUACAUAGAAUUUGUAGGUAUUGAAAAUAACUCUCUCCCAUUUUCCACAAGGUGUAUCACCAUACUGGAAAAAGUUAGGUCCUUUGGGCCUUUAUAUGGGUGCAUGAGAAAAUGGCCUCCUGCCCGGAUGAUCCUCAGUGGUCUGGGGUGCAGGCUUCAAACCUGUAGCUGUCUGGCGACAGAGUGGUUCAAUUCCACCUUCCGGGCGAUAGAUACUUGCUUUUUUCCCGAACCUGCCGACCACCUUGGAGGGUGUCAGCUCUGCCAAGAUGCACUCCCACACCCGCACCUGGAGAGGUUCCUGAGCCUUCCACAUUCCCAUUGACACUCUUGCCAGGUGGGCCUCAGCCUGUGGUUGCUUUCUUCUCAGCAAGAGCUAAGAUGACUGGAAAAGACAAAGAACGUUUCUUCUACACAACUGCAGGAUAUUCAGGGAUGGAACUCGGGACCUUGUGCUUCUAAGGCAGUUGGCAGAAUCACUGAGCUAAAUCCCCAGGCCGACUAAUUUGAGUUCUAUAUGCCUCACUUAUCUAGCCUCAUUCAUCUGCUUUAUUACUUCUGCUGUGACCACUCCAGAGAGUCCAGGGAACAGGGAAAGGAGAUGUUACCAGAACCUCUGCAGUAAGUCCUAGUCUCCUGUGAGCCAUGGCAGCACAAGGCAAAUUACAGGAAAGAUAGAAAAAUGAGACUGAGAAGAAGCUGAGCUUUGGGUCUGAUCAGUGCUGCUCUGGGCAGCAAAGACUAAAGCCCCCACCUCACGUCACCUUUUAUUCAGUACAUGGGGAGAAACAAAUGGAACAAAUGACUUGCAGAGAGUUCAGUACAUCUGCGUAAACAAGAUGUAACAAUCCAAGAACAAUGAGGAAC